rnacentral:rRNA from 1 species
UACGUAGGCAGCAAGCGUUGUUCGGAGUUACUGGGCGUAAAGGGUGUGUAGGUGGCCUGUUAAGUUCCGUGUGAAAUCUCCCGGCUCAACCGGGAGGGUGCGCGGAAAACUGGCGGGCUAGAGUACGGGAUGGGAGAGUAGAAUUCCUGGUGUAGCGGUGAAAUGCGUAGAUAUCAGGAGGAAUACCGGUGGUGUAGACGGCUCUCUGGACCGUAAACUGAACACUGGAGACACGGAAAGCGUG